GGGGAAUAUUGCACAAUGGGGGAAACCCUGAUGCAGCGACGCCGCGUGAGCGAUGAAGUAUUUCGGUAUGUAAAGCUCUAUCAGCAGGGAAGAAAAUGACGGUACCUGACUAAGAAGCUCCGGCUAACUACGUGCCAGCAGCCGCGGUAAUACGUAGGGAGCAAGCGUUGUCCGGAUUUACUGGGUGUAAAGGGUGCGUAGGCGGCUUUGCAAGUCAGAUGUGAAAUCUAUGGGCUCAACCCAUAAACUGCAUUUGAAACUGUAGAGCUUGAGUGAAGUAGAGGCAGGCGGAAUUCCCCGUGUAGCGGUGAAAUGCGUAGAGAUGGGGAGGAACACCAGUGGCGAAGGCGGCCUGCUGGGCUUCAACUGACGCUGAGGCACGAAAGCGUGGGUAGCAAACAGGAUUAGAUACCCUGGUAGUCCACGCUGUAAACGAUGAUUACUAGGUGUGGGGGGUCUGACCCCUUCCGUGCCGGAGUUAACACAAUAAGUAAUCCACCUGGGGAGUACGGCCGCAAGGUUGAAACUCAAAGGAAUUGACGGGGGCCCGCACAAGCAGUGGAGUAUGUGGUUUAAUUCGAAGCAACGCGAAGAACCUUACCAGGUCUUGACAUCCAACUAACGAAGUAGAGAUACAUUAGGUGCCCUUCGGGGAAAGUUGAGACAGGUGGUGCAUGGUUGUCGUCAGCUCGUGUCGUGGGAUGUUGGGUUAAGUCCCGCAACGAGCGCAACCCUUGCUAUUAGUUGCUACGCAAGAGCACUCUAAUAGGACUGCCGUUGACAAAACGGAGGAAGGUGGGGACGACGUCAAAUCAUCAUGCCCCUUAUGACCUGGGCUACACACGUACUACAAUGGAUGUUAACAGAGGGAAGCAAGACAGCGAUGUGGAGCAAACCCCUAAAAACAUUCUCAGUUCAGAUUGCAGGCUGCAACCCGCCUGCAUGAAGAUGGAAUUGCUAGUAAUCGCGGAUCAGCAUGCCGCGGUGAAUACGUUCCCG
rnacentral:rRNA from 1 species